rnacentral:rRNA from 1 species
AAAGUUCACACUGUGACGGUAUCUUACCAGAUAGGGACGCCUAACUACGUGCCAGCAGCCGCGGUAAUUACGUAGGUCCCGAGCGUUGUCCGGAUUUAUUGGGCGUAAAGGGAGCCCAGGCGGUUAGAUAAGUCUGAAGUUAAAGGCUGUGGCUUAACCAUAGUACGCAAUGGAAACUGUUUAACUUGAGAGCAAGAGGGGAGAGUGGAAUUCCAUGUGUAGCGGUGAAAUACC